rnacentral:lncRNA from 1 species
CUCCACCAGAUCUUCCAACUCCUACUCCACCAAAUCGCUAAAUAGGGUUCAGGACAGUUUGCAUCCUUCAUAUCUACAAAAUACCUAAUUAAUCUACUUACAUGAAUCUCCUUUCAUGUGUUAUAGAACAUAAAAGUUAAAUUAAACAUCAAUAGACGACCAAAUGUUAGAGAAAGAAGCAUGAGUUUGGAAAAUGAGACACACCAUCAAUAACCAUUGCCUGUACCACUUUCGGUGUUUACUCAUUUCAUUCACUGUUGGGCAGUUUUCAAAACAGCCCUUGACCUUAUAACUCCAACCCAAUUUGUCUCCAGACACAAAACCUUAGUCAUUAUGUGGGAAGAACUUGAUUUGGGUUUCUU